rnacentral:lncRNA from 1 species
AUUGAAAUUUUUUGAUCUUUUCCUAACACCACAGAAUUAUAAUAAUUUGUUAAAGCCUUUGUAUGAAAGGAAACAAAAGAAUUCUUUAUAGAGACUUGCUUUAACAUUUACCACAUUGCACUGUGAUCCUGUGUUUAUGUGUCUGUCUCCCUCACCAGACUGGGAACUCUCCAGGCAGGGGUUUCAUGUCCCCUGUGUAUGUGACAGAAGACUCGACACAUUAUAGUGCUCAGCAGUUGCUGCAUGGGUGGGAGAGGAAGAAAAGAAAUCAAAUACCAAUGAAAUGUGCUUUACUGCUUAAGAAAAGUGAAGAAUCUUGUGGACACCUAGAAAUCUUCCACAAGCAGUCCAGGUACAGUGAGGGAGAAGCACUUGGAGAAACAGAG